AGCUCCAAUAGCGUAUAUUAAAGUUGUUGCAGUUAAAAAGCUCGUAGUUGGAUUUCGGGACGGAUCGGUUGGUCGGCCGCAAGGUCUGUUACUGACCGGUCUGUUCUUCUUCGCAAAGCCUGCUCGUGCUCUUCAUUGAGUGCGUGUAGGAUUUACGACGUUUACUUUGAAAAAAUUAGAGUGUUCAAAGCAGGCAAUUGGCUUGAAUACAUGAGCAUGGAAUAAUGGAAUAGGACCUCGGUCCCUAUUUCGUUGGUUUUACGGACCGAAGUAAUGAUUAAGAGGGACAAUUGGGGGCAUCCGUAUUUCGUAGUCAGAGGUGAAAUUCUUGGACCUACGAAAGACGAACAACUGCGAAAGCAUUUGCCAAGAGUGUUUUCAUUAAUCAAGAACGAAAGUA
rnacentral:rRNA from 1 species